CCUACGGGAGGCAGCAGUGGGGAAUAUUGGACAAUGGGGGGAACCCUGAUCCAGCGACGCCGCGUGAGUGAAGAAGUCUUUCGGUAUGUAAAGCUCUAUCAGCAGGGAAGAAAAUGACGGUAUCUGAUUAAGACGCGCCGGCUAACUCCGUGUCAGCAGCCGCGGUAAUACGCAGGGGUGAAGCGUUAUCCGGAUUUACUGGGUGGAAAGGGGGCGUAGACGGGGCAGCAAGUCUGAUGUGAAAGGUCGGGGCUCAACCCCCGGACUGCAUUGGAAACUGUUGUACUGGAGUACAGGAGAGGUAAGCGGAAUUCCUAGUGUAGCGGUGAAAUGCGUAGAUAUAAGGAGGAACACCAGUGGCGAAGGCGGCCUGCUGGACUGUGACUGACGGUGAGGCGCGAAGGCGUGGGGAGCAAACAGGAUUAGAUACCCCAGUAGUC
rnacentral:rRNA from 1 species